AUAUUGUACAAUAGGGGCAACCCUGAUCCAGCCAUGCCGCGUGUGUGAAGAAGGUCUUCGGAUUUUAAAGCACUUUAAGUUGUGAGGAAGGGCUUUAGGUUAAUACCCUGAAGUUUUGACGUUACCAACAGAAUAAGCACCGGCUAACUCUGUGCCAGCAGCCGCGGUAAUACGGAGGGUGCAAGCGUUAAUCGGAAUUACUGGGCGUAAAGCGCGCGUAGGUGGUUCAGUAAGAUGGGUGUGAAAUCCUGGGGCUUAACCUGGGAACUGCUUUCAUAACUGCUGAGCUAGAGUAAGGUAGAGGGUAGUGGAAUUUCCUGUGUAGCGGUGAAAUGCGUAGAUAUAGGAAGGAACACCAGUGGCGAAGGCGACUACCUGGACUGAUACUGACACUGAGGUGCGAAAGCGUGGGGAGCAAAC
rnacentral:rRNA from 1 species